rnacentral:rRNA from 1 species
UCAUCUCCGGGGGUAGAGCACUGUUUCGGCUAGGGGGCCAUCCCGGCUUACCAACCCGAUGCAAACUGCGAAUACCGGAGAAUGUUAUCACGGGAGACACACGGCGGGUGCUAACGUCCGUCGUGAAGAGGGAAACAACCCAGACCGCCAGCUAAGGUCCCAAAGUCAUGGUUAAGUGGGAAACGAUGUGGGAAGGCCCAGACAGCCAGGAUGUUGGCUUAGAAGCAGCCAUCAUUUAAAGAAAGCGUAAUAGCUCACUGGUCGAGUCGGCCUGCGCGGAAGAUGUAACGGGGCUAAACCAUGCACCGAAGCUGCGGCAGCGACACUAUGUGUUGUUGGGUAGGGGAGCGUUCUGUAAGCCUGUGAAGGUGUGCUGUGAGGCAUGCUGGAGGUAUCAGAAGUGCGAAUGCUGACAUAAGUAACGAUAAAGCGGGUGAAAAGCCCGCUCGCCGGAAGACCAAGGGUUCCUGUCCAACGUUAAUCGGGGCAGGGUGAGUCGACCCCUAAGGCGAGGCCGAAAGGCGUAGUCGAUGGGAAACAGGUUAAUAUUCCUGUACUUGGUGUUACUGCGAAGGGGGGACGGAGAAGGCUAUGUCAGCCGGGCGACGGUCGUCCCGGUUUAAGCGUGUAGGCUGACUUUCCAGGCAAAUCCGGAAGGUUAAGGCUGAGGCGUGAUGACGAGGCACCACGGUGCUGAAGUGACAAAUGCCCUGCUUCCAGGAAAAGCCUCUAAGCAUCAGGUAACAUCAAAUCGUACCCCAAACCGACACAGGUGGUCAGGUAGAGAAUACCAAGGCGCUUGAGAGAACUCGGGUGAAGGAACUAGGCAAAAUGGUGCCGUAACUUCGGGAGAAGGCACGCUGACAUGUAGGUGAAGCCCCUGCGGGUGGAGCUGAAGUCAGUCGAAGAUACCAGCUGGCUGCAACUGUUUAUUAAAAACACAGCACUGUGCAAACACGAAAGUGGACGUAUACGGUGUGACGCCUGCCCGGUGCCGGAAGGUUAAUUGAUGGGGUUAUCGCAAGAGAAGCUCCUGAUCGAAGCCCCGGUAAACGGCGGCCGUAACUAUAACGGUCCUAAGGUAGCGAAAUUCCUUGUCGGGUAAGUUCCGACCUGCACGAAUGGCGUAAUGAUGGCCAGGCUGUCUCCACCCGAGACUCAGUGAAAUUGAACUCGCUGUGAAGAUGCAGUGUACCCGCGGCAAGACGGAAAGACCCCGUGAACCUUUACUACAGCUUGACACUGAACAUUGAGCCUUGAUGUGUAGGAUAGGUGGGAGGCUUUGAAGCGUGGACGCCAGUCUGCGUGGAGCCAACCUUGAAAUACCACCCUUUAAUGUUUGAUGUUCUAACCUGGCGCCGUGAUCCGGCGUGGGGACAGUGUCUGGUGGGUAGUUUGACUGGGGCGGUCUCCUCCCAAAGUGUAACGGAGGAGCACGAAGGUCAGCUAAUCCUGGUCGGACAUCAGGAGGUUAGUGCAAUGGCAUAAGCUGGCUUGACUGCGAGAGUGACGGCUCGAGCAGGUGCGAAAGCAGGUCAUAGUGAUCCGGUGGUUCUGUAUGGAAGGGCCAUCGCUCAACGGAUAAAAGGUACUCCGGGGAUAACAGGCUGAUACCGCCCAAGAGUUCAUAUCGACGGCGGUGUUUGGCACCUCGAUGUCGGCUCAUCACAUCCUGGGGCUGAAGUAGGUCCCAAGGGUAUGGCUGUUCGCCAUUUAAAGUGGUACGCGAGCUGGGUUUAGAACGUCGUGAGACAGUUCGGUCCCUAUCUGCCGUGGGCGCUGGAGAAUUGAGGGGGGCUGCUCCCAGUACGAGAGGACCGGAGUGGACGCAUCACUGGUGUUCGGGUUGUCAUGCCAAUGGCACUGCCCGGUAGCUAAAUGCGGAAGAGAUAAGUGCUGAAAGCAUCUAAGCACGAAACUUGCCCCGAGAUGAGUUCUCCCUGAGACUGUAAGUCUCCUGAAGGAACGUUGAAGACGACGACGUUGAUAGGCCGGGUGUGUAAGCGCAGCGAUGCGUUGAGCUAACCGGUACUAAUGAACCGUGAGGCUUAACCUU